UCUGGCUCUGGUGGGGCUUGGUCUUCACGAGGUGGUUGCGAGGUGAAGGAGGAAGGACAGCGGGAAAUUUGACGGCAGACGCACUAAAGGGUUUAAGGGAAUUGUUUUUUGACUUUGGCUACGGAUUUGGAUCACAGUGUUUGGCGGUUGGCAUAAACUGGUAUGUGACUGGCUGGAAUGGCAUCUCAGGUGGAUGAGGAUGAUGAUAUGGAUUUUGGUGAAUGGACCCCGGUUGCUGGCGGGGGAAGAUCAGGAAGAGGGAGAAGCAGGAGAGAGGAAGCAAGUUUGUUUGGGACACAGACUAGUAAACGGAGCUUGGAGGAGAACAGUUCGGAAGAGGGGUCCAGGGUUGUCCGGAGGAAAACGUGUCUAAAGAAGAAAAUCAACCACACCAAAGUCAUUCCUCGUAUCCGUCCCCACUGUGGAUUAUCAUCUGUGUUUACCUGGUUGCUCUACCACUAUUAAUGAUGGGACUAUAUCACUGUACAAGAGAUAUAGCAGCUAAAGAUGAACUUAAGACUAUAGUGGUUUACUCAGCCAUGAGCAAUGGUAAGACUUGACAGUAAGCCUUUAAACAUGCCAGUAUUUAAAAUGCUAUGCCUUCAUAACUUGUGUAAUUUUCUUAUUUGUUUCUCAGAUCAGAAUCUGACUCAUAUCAAAGGCAGUUUCAGACCUCCAGUGUUUCAGUCCUUUGAAACCAAAUGGAAUUAAUUUUGUCACAGAGAGAGACUCUGAAUGUCAAAGGUCAAAGUGAAGCCAACUGAAAAUCAAGUAACCUGUGUGUUUUUAUCACUGAGUGUAUAAACACCCAACUACAGAAUAAAGC